rnacentral:rRNA from 1 species
AUUGAACGCUGGCGGCAGGCUUAACACAUGCAAGUCGAACGAGUGGCGGACGGGUGAGUAAUGUCUUGAACUCUAUCUUAUGGAGGGGGAUCACUACGGUAAACUGUAUCUAAUACCGCGUACCAUAGGAUGAGCCCAUGUGGGUUUCGGUAGUUGGUGUGGUAAAGGCUCACCAAGCAGACUCUCUCUAGCUGGUCUGAGAGGAUGACCAUGCACAAUGGGACUGAGACACGGCCCAGACUCCUACGGGAGGAAGCAGUGGGGAAUAUUGCGCAAUGGGGGCAAGCUGAUGCAGCCAUGCCGCGUGAAUGAAGAAGGCCUUCGGGUUGUAAAGUUCUUUCGGUAGCGAGGCGUUAACUACAGAAGAAGCACCGGCUAACUCCGUGCCAGCCGCCGCGGUAAUAC